CGUGGAGACAGGUGGUGCAUGGCUGUCGUCAGCUCGUGUCGUGAGAUGUUGGGUUAAGUCCCGCAACGAGCGCAACCCUCACCUCUUGUUGCCAUCAGGUCAUGCUGGGCACUCUAGAGGAACUGCCCCGGUCAACGGGGAGGAAGGCGGGGAUGACGUCAAGUCAUCAUGCCCCUUACGUCCUGGGCUACACACGUGCUACAAUGGCCAGUACAAUGGGAUGUGACGCCGCGAGGUAGAGCUAAACCCAAAAAGCCGGUCUAAGUUCAGAUUGGAGUCUGCAACUCGACUCCAUGAAGGAGGAAUCGCUAGUAAUCGCGUAUCAGCACGACGCGGUGAAUACGUUCCCGGGCCUUGUACACACCGCCCGUCACACCACGAAAGCCAGCUGUACUCGAAGUCGCUGAG
rnacentral:rRNA from 1 species